UGGGGAAUAUUGCACAAUGGGCGCAAGCCUGAUGCAGCCAUGCCGCGUGUGUGAAGAAGGCCUUCGGGUUGUAAAGCACUUUCAGCGAGGAGGAAGGUGGUGAGCUUAAUACGCUCAUCAAUUGACGUUACUCGCAGAAGAAGCACCGGCUAACUCCGUGCCAGCAGCCGCGGUAAUACGGAGGGUGCAAGCGUUAAUCGGAAUUACUGGGCGUAAAGCGCACGCAGGCGGUUUGUUAAGUCAGAUGUGAAAUCCCCGGGCUCAACCUGGGAACUGCAUUUGAAACUGGCAAGCUAGAGUCUCGUAGAGGGGGGUAGAAUUCCAGGUGUAGCGGUGAAAUGCGUAGAGAUCUGGAGGAAUACCGGUGGCGAAGGCGGCCCCCUGGACGAAGACUGACGCUCAGGUGCGAAAGCGUGGGGAGCAAACAGG
rnacentral:rRNA from 2 species